UGGGGAAUAUUGCACAAUGGAGGGAACUCUGAUGCAGCGACGCCGCGUGAACGAAUAAGGCUUUCGAGUCGUAAAGUUCUUUUAUAUGGGAAGAUAAUGACGGUACCAUAAGAAAAAGCCCCGGCUAACUACGUGCCAGCAGCCGCGGUAAUACGUAGGGGGCUAGCGUUGUCCGGAAUCACUGGGCGUAAAGGGUUCGCAGGCGGAAAUGCAAGUCAGGUGUAAAAGGCAGUAGCUUAACUACUGUAAGCAUUUGAAACUGCAUAUCUUGAGAAGAGUAGAGGUAAGUGGAAUUUUUAGUGUAGCGGUGAAAUGCGUAGAUAUUAAAAAGAAUACCGGUGGCGAAGGCGACUUACUGGGAUCAUUCUGACGCUGAGGAACGAAAGCGUGGGUAGCAAACAGG
rnacentral:rRNA from 1 species